rnacentral:tRNA from 1 species
GCCUCGGUAGUGGAAUAUAAAGCACGGCAGACCGGAUAUCUGUAAGUGCGGGUACGAGUCCCGCCUGAGGUU